GGAGAAGAAAAGGAAGAAUUGUGUUAGUCUUGUACAACAAAGGUGAAGGCGAGUUUUACACCAAGAAUUGAAUCCCUAAAAGCUUUGUGGAAUCGUGGCUGCCUUAGAAAUUAGAUUGUAUAUUUCCUGUAUUUUGGAUAAUCUUUUGUAUCAAGGAACCGAUAUGUAUUUAAAGACUUGAAGAAUUUUAUCUGUAACUAUUAUUAAUAUUUUAUUUUAGUGUAAUUAUUUGCAUUUUGUGCUUAAAAA